UGGCGGACGGGUGAGUAACGCGUGGGUAACCUGCCCUGUACAGGGGGAGUAACAGCUGGAAACGGCUGCUAAUACCGCAUAAACGCACGAGGAGACAUCUCCUUGUGUGAAAAACUCCGGUGGUACAGGAUGGGCCCGCGUCUGAUUAGCUGGUUGGCAGGGUAACGGCCUACCAAGGCAACGAUCAGUAGCCGGUCUGAGAGGAUGAACGGCCACAUUGGAACUGAGACACGGUCCAAACUCCUACGGGAGGCAGCAUG
rnacentral:rRNA from 1 species